AUCAAAGUUUGAUGAACUUUGUUGAGUUCCAUCUGAUGUUUGAUGUUAAUGUGUCUGGUUUUGUAGAAAUACGUUAAACUUUUCUAAUUUCAAAGCAAAAUUUAUAUUACUCAUUAUAUAUUUUUCAAUAGACGUCACAAAGACGGGCUGAGCUUAUACCGACUCCAAACAAUUUUCUUGAUAAUGGUAAAUGCCCAUAAGCAAUUUUUCAUUUAGUGUUUUCGUGGUUUAUGUGAUAAAAUGAGACUUUUCAGUUGAAUAUAUUGUUGAAGGAACGUACUAUUUCAGAGCUUUUUAUUAGUUUUUCCCCAGGUUUUUAAGAUCUAGUACUGCUCCAGAUUGGGUAUGUGCUUUGUUCCAGACUGUAAACAUUACAGUUCAAACCAUUCAUGAAGUUUUUUUCGGUUCCCAAAAAACAAGACCAAGAGGAAUAGAUGGAUUUCUCUCAUAAGAUAAAAGAAUAAUAACAUUCACUUUUCAAAGAUUUAUGUUUUAAACUUAUUAUUAUUAUUAUUACAGAAAAAAAGAUAGAGAUCCAAGUGAAUUUGCAAAAGUAUGCGAUUAUCACUUUUUAAAUAAAGAAAAAAGAAUGUGCCAACUUUAUUUGAUUUCAAUAUUCAGAAGAAGUUUAAUAUAAAAUCACCAGAAAAAAAGAAGCAAAUUGUAAAAAACGGAACUACUACCAGGACCUUCAACAGAACCAUUACCAGGUCCUUCAACCAAACUACUACCAGGGUCUUCAGUCUUCAGCUAUGAAAUUGUGAAGAACAAAGGUGCUCAUGUACUAAUGUAUACUGGUAUUCCAACCAAUGAGCUGUUAAUGAUUCUUUUUGAACUAAUGGACAGCAUUAAAUUAAAAUAUUAUGCUGGGUGGAAUGUUCAGAUCGUUCCUAAAAUUGAUCAACUGUUUAUGACCUUAAUGAAGCUAAGGCUUAAUCUUCCACAUGAAGAUUUGAGUAUUAGAUUUAGUUGUAGUACAACUACAGUGACCAAUAUUAUAAUGACGUGGAUCUAUACUCUACAUGAAGACCUUUUCAAUAAUUUGAUGAAAACUAUAUCGUCUAGACAACGGAAUCAGGUAUGCCUCCCUAUUGCUUUUACAAAUUUUAAAAAUUGUAGAAUAAUUUUGGAUUGCACUGAAAUUUAUUCAGCAGUUCCAGCAAGCAUGGAAAACCAGAGAUUGACCUACAGUUCUUACCAACACUGACCACAUGAAAAAUGUUGGUAGGUGUUGCACCAAAUGGUAUAAUCACCUUUGUUAGUAAGGCUUAUCCAGGGUCUACAUCUGAUAAAAAAAUUGUUGAAGAGUGUAAGGUUCUAGAUCUGAUGGUGGCUGGAGAUUUGAUAUUAGCAGAUAGAGGUUUCUUGUUUAAGGAACUUCUCCUUGCAGGAGUAUCAUUAAAUAUACCUCCAUUUUCAAUUAACAAUACCACAGUUUACAGAAUCCCAAGUAUAUAAAACUUAAAUUGCAAAGGCUAGAAUUUAUGUAGAAUGGGCCAUCAGGAGAAUAAAGUGUUAUAAUAUUUUGUAGCAAGUUCCAUCAUAUUAUAUAUCACAAAUUUCAAUUCUUUCAACUGUGUGCAAUAUACAAACUUGCAAUAUCCCCCAAUUAAAGAAGUUGAGGAGUAUUAUUGGUAGGAUCUAUACUGUAGGUUAUGCUGUUUAAUGUGAACUGAAUUGAUUAACCGUACAGAGUUGCGCCAAAGUACAUAGACAUAUUAUAAUUUUGAGUUUUAAAUAUUUUUUAUUGUAGCAAUAUAUUUCCUUAUUCGACUUUUAUAAAAAGUUUGUAAGUUUUUAUUUAAAAAAUGUAUAUUUAGAUUUUACUUAAUUUAUAAAUGACUUGAUCUAAUACAAUUAUUGUUAAAAGUAAUAAUAAAACUGUUUUUCUAAUUUAAUAGAAGCCUGUAAAUACAACUACAAUUUUCAUAAAGUAAAAAAAUACAAUUUGAUUUCUUGUCAGUAGACUACAGUCUUUACAAUCUUCAAAUAAAUUAUAAGUCACAAG